rnacentral:rRNA from 1 species
UACGGAGGGGGCUAGCGUUGUUCGGAAUUACUGGGCGUAAAGGGCGCGUAGGCGGCGCGAUAAGUUGGGCGUGAAAGGCCCGGGCUCAACCCGGGGACUGCGCUUGAUACUGUCGCGCUGUGAGUCCGGGAGAGGAUGGCGGAAUUCCCAGUGUAGAGGUGAAAUUCGUAGAUAUUGGGAAGAACACCGGUGGCGAAGGCGGCCAUCUGGACCGGCACUGACGCUGAGGCGCAAAAGCGUGGGGAGCAAACAGG